rnacentral:rRNA from 1 species
GAUGAACGCUGGCGGCGUGCCUAAUACAUGCAAGUCGAGCGAACGGACGAGAAGCUUGCUUCUCUGAUGUUAGCGGCGGACGGGCGAGUAACACGUGGAUAACCUACCUAUAAGACUGGGAUAACUUCGGGAAACCGGAGCUAAUACCGGAUAAUAUUUUGAACCGCAUGGUUCAAAAGUGAAAGACGGUCUUGCUAUCACUUAUAGAUGGAUCCGCGCUGCAUUAGCUAGUUGGUAAGGUAACGGCUUACCAAGGCAACGAUGCAUAGCCGACCUGAGAGGGUGAUCGGCCACACGGGAACUGAGACACGGUCCAGACUCCUACGGGAGGCAGCAGUAGGGAAUCUUCCGCAAUGGGCGAAAGCCUGACGGAGCAACGCCGCGUGAGUGAUGAAGGUCUUCGGAUCGUAAAACUCUGUUAUUAGGGAAGAACAUAUGUGUAAGUAACUGUGCACAUCUUGACGGUACCUAAUCAGAAAGCCACGGCUAACUACGUG